AUGGUGAUGUUCCUCCGGCUCCGGGUGGGCAAAGUGGAGCUUGAGGCGGCCGUCCUCCCGGCAGGCGUGGAGCAGCUCCCGCGACGGUAUCCUCACCUCCCGCAGCACCAGCCGGCCGCCCCCGCGCUGCGCCCUCAGGUACUGCCACGGCUUCCCGGCGGCGCCGAUCACCGAUAUGGGCGGGGGAAACACCCUUUUCCUCGCCGGCAUCAGCGUCUCCUCCUGGUCGUCCUGCUGCCGCCUCUUGCAGUCUUCAAUGUCGUCGUCGGCCACGAUGUCGCCGAGGUCGAGGUCGCCCGAGCUCUCGGAGCUCUCCGAGCCGAGGCCCUCGGUGCAGAGGCCGGGGUGGCGAGACGCUGCCGCCUUGGAGCUGGCGCCCGAAGGGAGAUGGAAAGGUGGUGGCGGCGGCGGCGGCGGAGGAGGAGGAGGUGGAGGCAUGACGAGGCCGUUGAUGAUGGAAUAGUGGUCGUGGAUGAUGGGACAGUGGCGGCGGCCUCGGGCGCUGUCGUCGAACGCGUCCAUCGCCUGCGGCGGCGGCGGCACCAGGCCGCCGUCGUAGCCGUAGGCGCAUGCCGUCGCGGCCAUGCGCGCGCUCGCGCGUACGUGGUGGUGAGGUGA
rnacentral:rRNA from 1 species